rnacentral:antisense_RNA from 1 species
CUUCACCGAGCCCAACCACAGUGGUGUCGCGCGGUCCUGCCCGUAGGUCGCCAGCAGCGCCUGCGCCUC